AUAGGUCUGAGGUGGAAGUGUGGCGACACAUGGAGCUGACAGAUACUAAUCGAUCGAGGACUUAACCUAA
rnacentral:rRNA from 1 species